rnacentral:rRNA from 1 species
UACGUAGGGUGCAAACGUUGUUCGGAAUUACUGGGCGUAAAGCGCGUGUAGGCGGCUCUGCAAGUCGGAUGUGAAAUCCCACGGCUCAACCAUGGAAGUGCAUUCGAAGCUGCAGGGCUAGAGUUCUGGAGAGGAAGGUGGAAUGCUUGGUGUAGAGGUGAAAUUCGUAGAUAUCAAGCGGAACACCGGUGGCGAAGGCGGCCUUCUGGACAGUAACCUGACGCUGAGACGCGAAAGCGUGGGGAGCAAACAGG